rnacentral:rRNA from 1 species
CCUACGGGAGGCUGCAGUGGGGAAUAUUGCACAAUGGGCGAAAGCCUGAUGCAGCAACGCCGCGUGAGCGAUGAAGGCCUUCGGGUCGUAAAGCUCUGUCCUUAAGGAAGAUAAUGACGGUACGUGUGGAGGAAGCCCCGUCUAACUACGAGCCAGCGGCCGCGGUAAUAUGUCGGGGGCUAGGGUUAUCCGGAAUUACUGGGCGUAAAGGGUGCGUAGGUGGUUUCUUAGGUCAGAGGUGAAAGGCUACGGCUCAACCGUAGUAAGCCUUUGAAACUGGGGGACUUGAGUGCAGGAGAGGAGAGUGGAAUUCGUGGUGUAGCGGUGAAAUGCGUAGAUAUUAGGAGGAACACCAGUGGCGAAGGCGGCCUGCUGGACGGUGACUGACGCUGAGGCACGAAAGCGUGGGGAGCAAACAGGAUUAGAUACCCGUGUAGUC